GGCCAGACUCCUACGGGAGGCAGCAGUGGGGGAUAUUGCACAAUGGGGGAAACCCUGGUGCAGCGACGCCGCGUGAGUGAAGAAGUAUUUCGGUAUGUAAAGCUCUAUCAGCAGGGAAGAAGAUGACAGUACCUGAGUAAGAAGCCCCGGCUAACUACGUGCCAGCAGCCGCGGUAAUACGUAGGGGGCAAGCGUUAUCCGGAUUUACUGGGUGUAAAGGGAGCGUAGACGGUUAUGUAAGUCUGGAGUGAAAGCCCGGGGCCCAACCCCGGGACUGCUUUGGAAACUGUAAAGCUGGAGUGCGGGAGGGGCAGGCGGAAUUCCUGGUGUAGCGGUGAAAUGCGUAGAUAUCAGGAGGAACACCGGCGGCGAAGGCGGCCUGCUGGACCGUAACUGACGUUGAGGCUCGAAAGCGUGGGGAGCGAACAGGAUUAGAUACCCCCGUA
rnacentral:rRNA from 1 species